UACGAAGGGGGCGAGCGUUGUUCGGAUUUACUGGGCGUAAAGGGCGCGUAGGCGGCGGGUCAAGUCGAGUGUGAAAGCCCCGGGCUCAACCUGGGAAUUGCGCUCGAGACUGGUCUGCUUGAGUUCGGGGAGAGGAGCGUUGGAAUUCCCAGUGUAGAGGUGAAAUUCGUAGAUAUUGGGAAGGAACACCGGUGGCGAAGGCGGCGCUCUGGACCGAGACUGACGCUGAGGCGGCGAAAAG
rnacentral:rRNA from 1 species